GCCCCGUGUGAAUAGGGCGUAAAGGAAGACAGUAAAAGCUUUGAAGUUGAUCCCUGUGCCUGUGUUAAUACCCGAUGUUUUCUAGAAGAAGCAACACAUAAGAGAAGUGUCUCGUUUUUAAAGAUGUGGAGGUUGAUGGGGGUGAGCUGUGUGUCCACGGGGAGCCUCUGUCAGUGGGCUCGCGGCUGAGGAGGGACGUAUGAUCGGGGCUCGGGUCAGAUCUGGACGACAUCUGGAAGCACUUGGGGUCAGCGAGUCCCGGCUGUGAAAGAAAAGAGGGAAGCUGAAAACGGGCGGAGGGGAAAAGAGCCGCAGGAAUUUCUGCUAAACUUCUGACGAAGCCCCACAGGAGUCCUGACGAGAAGUUAUUUUACAGUUUAAAGCUCUCAACAUCUGCUGUGAGUUUGGGAUGCAGAGACCUUCGAUGGUGCUCUUUUCAACUCGUGAACCAGGCCUGGACAGACCUACGUUGGAACUCGUUGCACUGACAAGAGACAGUCAAGCAAACAUGAGACAUUCUCUGAACGUUGCAAACCUCGUCUAAAGGUAUCUAUUUUUAAUGUUUGCUAACAUCACUCAGAAGAUAUCUUGAUUUCAUCUGCUUUAUACCGUUCUUAACGUCAGUGGUCACUUGUUGGACAUCCCCAUUUUGUCUGUUUUAUAGUGUUUACUGGUGUACUUAUGUCUAGGGCUGCACAAUUCUGGGUAAAAUAAGAAUCACAAUUUUGUUUUGCUUAAAAUCAAGAUCAU